UAACGGGACUUUUGGUUGGAGGGAAGGAAUUAGGUGGGAAAUAAAUUGUAAUUUCAUGUGAAAAGGAUAAUUAAUGUGGGAAUAAAGUGGGAUUUUAAAUUCC